rnacentral:sRNA from 1 species
ACCGUUUUCACAGUACGAUAAUGGAUAAAAUAAAAUUGGGAGAGGAAACAGAAAUGUCGAACCAGAAAGGCGGUCGUGAAGACUUGAGACUAGUCUUUUGUUAUAUGAAGAUUAUAUGCUGCAGGGUGGGGUAUCAAAUUGAAAGAUUAAAAUAAAACCAUAUAUCUUCAAGACAAAGAGAGCAAUGCCAGCAAGUGAUGAAAGCAAUACCCACACACAGCAUUUAGGUAGGAUAUCAAUCAUAGUUUAUUCAAUUAUAUAUUCACCUUGAUUAGCUCAGCUAACAAUAAUUAUUAAGGUUAAUUAACCCUUGUGUACAAUCUUGAUUUCUAGAGGUUUAUGGUAGGUUUACAUGGAAUAUGUAUUUAAAUUAUUCAAAUUCCUGACUUUCUCAAUUUUUG